rnacentral:rRNA from 1 species
UAGGGAAUCUUCCGCAAUGGACGAAAGUCUGACGGACCAACGCCGCGUGAGUGAAGAAGGAUUUCGGUUCGUAAAACUCUGUUGUUAGGGAAGAAAAAAUGUAUAGUAACUAUAUACAAACGAGACGGUACCUAACCAGAAAGCCACGGCUAACUACGUGCCAGCAGCCGCGGUAAUACGUAGGUGGCAAGCGUUGUCCGGAAUUAUUGGGCGUAAAGCGCGCGCAGGUGGUUUAGAAAGUCUGAUGUGAAAGCCCACGGCUCAACCGUGGAGGGUCAUUGGAAACUAAUAAACUUGAGUGCAGGAGAGAAAAGUGGAAUUCCUAGUGUAGCGGUGAAAUGCGUAGAGAUUAGGAGGAACACCGGUGGCGAAAGCGGCUUUUUGGCCUGCAACUGACACUGAGGCGCGAAAGCGUGGGGAGCAAACAGG